UACAGAGGAGCCAAGCGUUGUUCGGAUUUACUGGGCGUAAAGCGCACGUAGGCGGUUUGUUAAGUCAGGGGUGAAAUCCCACAGCUCAACUGUGGAACUGCCUUUGAUACUGGCAAGCUAGAGUCCGGAAGAGGUAAGUGGAACUCCUAGUGUAGAGGUGGAAUUCGUAGAUAUCAGGAGGAACACCGGUGGCGAAGGCGGCAUCCUGGACCGGCAUUGACGCUGAGGCGCGAA
rnacentral:rRNA from 1 species